UGAUUGACAGUUAGAACAAUUAGAUACGCACUAAAGCAAAUAUGUACUUGCCCAAUUUAUCAGUAUCCCUGUAACAGCCCAGAUAGCCAUCACAGCUGUCAGAUCGAGCUACUCCUUCGCCACGAUGAAGUCUGCUGUCCUUUGCCUAGUAAUUCUUGCUGUGCUGCCAAUGGGUAUCAAAAACAUGUAGCUUUAAAAGCGCGUGUGAGACAACUAAAGACGCAUGCAAACAAUCAGGAAGCUGCUCGGUGGAAUGCUGCAAUAACGAAGAUCUGUGCAACAGCGGUUUCUCCGCCAAGCCUAUGCUCAUGAGUCUCCUCGUGCCCAUUCUUCUGUUACUCCGUGCACUCUAAACCAUGAAAUGUGAAGUGGCCUAAGUCUGCAAAGUAGCCUGUAUCCAGAGAGAUCUAGUCUUGUCAUUUAUUUCACUUUAAAUAACUUGUAAUACUUAUAAUCUAGUCUAGAGCUUGUUAUAGUUUUAUUCUUGUAACAUAAGAUUUCAGUAAAAUAAAAGUGGGUUUAAAAAGAA